CUUAAGCCAGCUAUUAAUAUGUUUGUGGUACGUUUUCCUCUCAAGAUCUGGGAACUGAGUGAUGUUCUCCUCCUGAAAACAAUAUUAGCCCAGCUCUUACAGAGGGUUGCACUGCACUACAUUUAAAACUAAAAUAUCUCUCGGCUUGGGUUUAAAAUGUAAUGCUUUUUUUUUUUUUUUUUUUUUUAUCUUUCAGCCCAAGAACUUGCCAGUCAAGAUGAAAAACUUCUUCUAAUGGAAUCCAGCUUGAAAGCAACUCAAGAGCAGCUAAGUGAGCAAAUAGCAGAAACAGUUCGCCAAGAACAGAACAGUAGAAAAUCACAGACAGAGCUGAAGACCCUGAGAGAACAUAUUAUAGCUUCUGAAGAAGAAAUUAGUGAUUACAAGUGAGUUACUGCUUUUUCAGUAUUCAAGGAACAGAAGACAUUAAAGUCAACAGUAAAUCCUUUUAAUAUGUACUGUAUUAAUCAUUUCUCUCAGAGACAUCACAGUGUGCACCAUAUGGAGCUACAACUGAGGCAGAAAUGUUCCCAGCCACUGUAAAAAGUUCACUUUGUUUACCACUGUCAAACUUAUGAUGGAAUAAUUCCUAUUUCCUCUUAAAAAUGAGGAAAAGUGUGCAGAACUUUAAGGUAAGAAUAACAGCAUGAAAGAAAGAGGAAGAAUACCAGCUUCUCAAGGCCCGUGUCCACCAGACCUGGAAUAACCUGGAAUAAGCAGAAAUAGUUUCAAUCAGCUGAAGAACUAGAAAAUUUGAAGAAGCAGCUCCUUAGGUCUGAAAAAUGUGAGUAGUGUCUUCAAAAAAUCUACAUGGGAACCAUGCCAACAGUGUGGGACCAGGAAAAGCAAAUUGUCAGACUGAAACAAAACUUUGUGGAAAUGGAGAGAGAGGUGGAGAACUUAUGAUUUACACAUAGCAAUGAUGCUCAGAUGCACCACAGGAAAGGCAGUGAUGAAGUAAUUGAUCAAGGACAUACAUUGAGGUAAGUUGCCUCCAGG